UGCAUCGGCAGGCGGACUCUCAACCACUGCGCCACCAGGGAAGCGCCCCUGCUAACGGUUUUUAAUAAGAGAGAACCCUGUCUGAUAAUCUGAAGAUUGGCAUCUAAUACAAUCAAACAUGGAGUGAAUCAGGAGUUAAAGAUGAUUCUAAAAGCUUGAUUGACUUAGAGAAUGGCACCUCCAUUGACUGAAAUAAGGAAGACACCGAGAAGAAUCCUUUGCCUGAUCUGAGAAAGAGAAAAUGGGAAGUGCUAAUGCUCUUUUUCUUCACAAUGAGGCAGGGACAAAGAGACGUCCCUGACACAUGAUAUUCAGUAAACACUGUCUAAACAAACAAACAUGUGACUAAGAGGCUGAGAGGACAUAGAAGAACCACAUGAUGUUGAAAGAAGAAUUUUAAAAAGUUAGACCAUAAACUUCUUGUUAAGGUCCAGGUGGUGGGUAGCCUCUGAGAUGACCUGCAGUGAUCCUCCUAUCCAGAAUUCUAGGGAUCCUCAGAUGUUGUGCUGCAAGAAGAGGAUAUGGAAACCUCCCAGAAUAAAUGCCUGUCUCUUUAAAGAAGAUGAAGAUGGUAACAGACUCAGAGGAGAGAAAUUACUGCCUGUUAUCCUUCAAAUUCCUCUUUGAAGACGUAUAUCUGGGAAAACCCAUCAAGUAGCUGAUCAAUAAAAGGAUGAAAGAAGGCAAAGCAGGACGAUAGCCUGGCUGUUUUGGUACCUAAGGACUGGGGAAAAUGCUGAAGCAUGUCUCUGAUUCAUAGCUUUUGGUAUGUACAACCAUAACGUGAGUAAAAAUUUAUGAGGCAGUUCUCCAAGGGUUAAUGAUGAAUAAGUGUAUAAAGUGUCAUUAGAGUCAGAGUGAGGACACGGAAGAGUAGACCAAAGCCGGCCAGUGGUCUGCACUAAAAAGGAGUCAAGCAGUUGUUGCCUGAGGUUGGGCUUCUGUGUUUGUGGGCCAGGCCCAUGUAAGAGAACGGAGCAGGCA